AGCCCCUAUAGGCGUGCCCCAUAGCACCGAGCCCCAUAGCUCUGUGCCCCAUUAGCUCUGUGCCCAUAGAGCCCGAGCCCAUAGCCUGUGGCG
rnacentral:lncRNA from 1 species